rnacentral:rRNA from 1 species
AAACAUGGCUCCUUGUAAAAUAUAAAUAAGGAGUCGGACCUGCCCAGUGAAUUUUUUUAACGGCCGCGGUACUCUGACCGUGCAAAGGUAGCAUAAUCAUUUGCCUUAUAAUUGAAGGCUUGUAUGAAUGGUUUGACAAGAAUAUAGCUGUCUCUUUAUAAUUAAGUAGAAUUUUAUUUAUAGGUGAAGAAGCCUAUAUAAUAUUGAAAGACAAGAAGACCCUAUCGAGCUUGAAAGAAAUUAAUAAAUUCUACAUAUUCAAUAUAAUAUAAAAAAAAUUAAUUAUUAAAAAUUUUGGUUGGGGCGACUAAGGAACAAAUAAAGCUUCCUUUAUUUUAAUAAUACAACCAAGUAAGGAUCCAAAAACUUUGAUUAAAGGAAUUAGUUACCGUAGGGAUAACAGCAUUAUCUUUUUUGAGAGCUCUAAUCGAAAAAAAGGUUUGUGACCUCGAUGUUGGACCAGAAUAUCCUAAAGAUGCAGUCGUCUUUAAGGGUUGGUCUGUUCGACCAUUAAAAUUCUACGUGAUCUGAGUUCAGACCGGCGUGAGCCAGGUCAGUUUCUAUCUUCAAUUUUUAAAAUAAGUUUAGUACGAAAGGACCAAUUUAUUACAAAAUGUUUGUUUUAUUUAGAUGAAAUAUAAAGAAAAAUUAAAUAGAUUAUAAAUAUAAUCAAAUUAGCAAAGAUAAUGCAAUUGACUUAGGAUCAAUAGAUAUAGGUGAAACUCCCUCUAUUUGAUAAAAUAUAAAGAUGGCAGACUAAGUGCAUUAGGUUA